rnacentral:rRNA from 1 species
AUUGAACGCUGGCGGCAGGCUUAACACAUGCAAGUCGAGCGGUAACAGAGAGAAGCUUGCUUCUCUGCUGACGAGCGGCGGACGGGUGAGUAAUGCCUAGGAAUCUGCCUAGUAGUGGGGGAUAACUUGCCGAAAGGUAAGCUAAUACCGCAUACGUCCUACGGGAGAAAGGAGGGGACCUUCGGGCCUUUCGCUAUUAGAUGAGCCUAGGUCGGAUUAGUUAGUUGGUGAGGUCAUAGCUCACCAAGACCGCGAUCCGUAACUGGUCUGAGAGGAUGAGCAGUGACACUGGAACUGAGACACGGUCCAGACUCCUACGGGAGGCAGCAGUGGGGAAUAUUGGACAAUGGGGGGAACCCUGAUCCAGCCAUGCCGCGUGUGUGAAGAAGGUCUUAGGAUUGUAAAGCACUUUAAGUUGGGAGGAAGAGCAGUUAACUAAUAUUUGACUGUUUUGACGUUACCGACAGAAUAAGCACCGGCUAACUUCGUGCCAGCCGCCGCAGUAA